GAUGAACGCUGGCGGCGUGCCUAAUACAUGCAAGUCGAGCGAACGGACGAGAAGCUUGCUUCUCUGAUGUUAUCGGCGGACGGGUGAGUAACACGUGGAUAACCUACCUAUAAGACUGGGAUAACUUCGGGAAACCGGAGCUAAUACCGGAUAAUAUUUUGAACCGCAUGGUUCAAAAGUGAAAGACGGUCUUGCUGUCACUUAUAGAUGGAUCCGCGCUGCAUUAGCUAGUUGGUAAGGUAACGGCUUACUAAGGCAACGAUGCAUAGCCGACCUGAGAGGGUGAUCGGCCACACUGGAACUGAGACACGGUCCAGACUCCUACGGGAGGCAGCAGUAGGGAAUCUUCCGCAAUGGGCGAAAGCCUGACGGAGCAACGCCGCGUGAGUGAUGAAGGUCUUCGGAUCGUAAAACUCUGUUAUUAGGGAAGAACAUAUGUGUAAGUAACUGUGCACAUCUUGACGGUACCUAAUCAGAAAGCCACGGCUAACUACGU
rnacentral:rRNA from 1 species